rnacentral:rRNA from 1 species
CCUAGGGGAGGCAGCAGUGGGGAAUAUUGCACAAUGGGGGAAACCCUGAUGCAGCGACGCCGCGUGAGUGAAGAAGUAAUUCGUUACGUAAAGCUCUAUCAGCAGGGAAGAAAAUGACGGUACCUGAGUAAGAAGCCCCGGCUAACUACGUGCCAGCAGCCGCGGUAAUACGUAGGGGGCAAGCGUUAUUCGGAUUUACUGGGUGUAAAGGGAGCGGAGACGGGGGGCCAAGUCUGGAGUGAAAUGCCGCAGGUUAACUGCGGAACUGCUUUGGAGACUGGCGAACUAGAGUGCGGGAGAGGUAAGCGGAAUUCCAAGUGUAGCGGUGAAAUGCGUAGAUAUUAGGAGGAACACCGAAGGCGAAGGCGGCUUACUGGACCGAUACUGACGUUGAGGGUCGAAAGCGUGGGGAGCAAACAGGAUUAGAUACCCCAGUAGUC